rnacentral:rRNA from 1 species
AAGGUUUCCUCCGGAAGGCUCGUCCGCGGAGGGUAAGUCAGGACCUAAGGCGAGGCUGAAAAGCGUAGUCGAUGGAAAACAGGUUAAUAUUCCUGUACUUCUGGUUAUUGCGAUGGAGGGACGGAGAAGGCUAGGCCAGCUUGGCGUUGGUUGUCCAAGUUUAAGGUGGUAGGCUGGAAUCUUAGGUAAAUCCGGGAUUCUAAGGCCGAGAGCUGAUGA